CCUACGGGCGGCAGCAGUGGGGAAUAUUGGACAAUGGGGGGAACCCUGAUCCAGCCAUGCCGCGUGUGUGAAGAAGGCCCUCGGGUUGUAAAGCACUUUCAGUGAGGAAGAACGCCUGGUGGUUAAUACCCAUCAGGAAAGACAUCACUCACAGAAGAAGCACCGGCUAACUCCGUGCCAGCAGCCGCGGUAAUACGGAGGGUGCGAGCGUUAAUCGGAAUUAUUGGGCGUAAAGCGCGCGUAGGUGGCUUGAUAAGCCGGUUGUGAAAGCCCCGGGCUCAACCUGGGAACGGCAUCCGGAACUGUCAAGCUAGAGUGCAGGAGAGGAAGGUAGAAUUCCCGGUGUAGCGGUGAAAUGCGUAGAGAUCGGGAGGAAUACCAGUGGCGAAGGCGGCCUUCUGGACUGACACUGACACUGAGGUGCGAAAGCGUGGGUAGCAAACAGGAUUAGAUACCCCGGGUAGUC
rnacentral:rRNA from 1 species